UGUUUCGGCUAGGGGGCCAUCCCGGCUUACCAACCCGAUGCAAACUGCGAAUACCGGAGAAUGUUAUCACGGGAGACACACGGCGGGUGCUAACGUCCGUCGUGAAGAGGGAAACAACCCAGACCGCCAGCUAAGGUCCCAAAGUCAUGGUUAAGUGGGAAACGAUGUGGGAAGGCCCAGACAGCCAGGAUGUUGGCUUAGAAGCAGCCAUCAUUUAAAGAAAGCGUAAUAGCUCACUGGUCGAGUCGGCCUGCGCGGAAGAUGUAACGGGGCUAAACCAUGCACCGAAGCUGCGGCAGCGACACUUUAGUGUUGUUGGGUAGGGGAGCGUUCUGUAAGCCGUUGAAGGUGUCCUGUGAGGGGUGCUGGAGGUAUCAGAAGUGCGAAUGCUGACAUAAGUAACGAUAAAGCGGGUGAAAAGCCCGCUCGCCGGAAGACCAAGGGUUCCUGUCCAACGUUAAUCGGGGCAGGGUGAGUCGACCCCUAAGGCGAGGCCGAAAGGCGUAGUCGAUGGGAAACGGGUUAAUAUUCCCGUACUUGGUGUUACUGCGAAGGGGGGACGGAGAAGGCUAUGUUGGCCGGGCGACGGUAGUCCCGGUUUAAGCGUGUAGGUGUGUGUUCCAGGUAAAUCCGGUUCACUUUAACACUGAGGCGUGAUGACGAGGCACCACGGUGCUGAAGCAACAAAUGCCCUGCUUCCAGGAAAAGCCUCUAAGCAUCAGGUAACAUCAAAUCGUACCCCAAACCGACACAGGUGGUCAGGUAGAGAAUACCAAGGCGCUUGAGAGAACUCGGGUGAAGGAACUAGGCAAAAUGGUGCCGUAACUUCGGGAGAAGGCACGCUGACACGUAGGUGAAGUGAUUUACUCAUGGAGCUGAAGUCAGUCGAAGAUACCAGCUGGCUGCAACUGUUUAUUAAAAACACAGCACUGUGCAAACACGAAAGUGGACGUAUACGGUGUGACGCCUGCCCGGUGCCGGAAGGUUAAUUGAUGGGGUCAGCGCAAGCGAAGCUCCUGAUCGAAGCCCCGGUAAACGGCGGCCGUAACUAUAACGGUCCUAAGGUAGCGAAAUUCCUUGUCGGGUAAGUUCCGACCUGCACGAAUGGCGUAAUGAUGGCCAGGCUGUCUCCACCCGAGACUCAGUGAAAUUGAACUCGCUGUGAAGAUGCAGUGUACCCGCGGCAAGACGGAAAGACCCCGUGAACCUUUACUAUAGCUUGACACUGAACAUUGAGCCUUGAUGUGUAGGAUAGGUGGGAGGCUUUGAAGCGUGGACGCCAGUCUGCGUGGAGCCGACCUUGAAAUACCACCCUUUAAUGUUUGAUGUUCUAACGUGGACCCGUAAUCCGGGUUGCGGACAGUGUCUGGUGGGUAGUUUGACUGGGGCGGUCUCCUCCUAAAGAGUAACGGAGGAGCACGAAGGUUGGCUAAUCCUGGUCGGACAUCAGGAGGUUAGUGCAAUGGCAUAAGCCAGCUUGACUGCGAGCGUGACGGCGCGAGCAGGUGCGAAAGCAGGUCAUAGUGAUCCGGUGGUUCUGAAUGGAAGGGCCAUCGCUCAACGGAUAAAAGGUACUCCGGGGAUAACAGGCUGAUACCGCCCAAGAGUUCAUAUCGACGGCGGUGUUUGGCACCUCGAUGUCGGCUCAUCACAUCCUGGGGCUGAAGUAGGUCCCAAGGGUAUGGCUGUUCGCCAUUUAAAGUGGUACGCGAGCUGGGUUUAGAACGUCGUGAGACAGUUCGGUCCCUAUCUGCCGUGGGCGCUGGAAGACUGAGGGG
rnacentral:rRNA from 1 species